rnacentral:rRNA from 1 species
GCGGGUGCUAAUGUCCGUCGUGAAGAGGGAAACAACCCAGACCGCCAGCUAAGGUCCCAAAGUCAUGGUUAAGUGGGAAACGAUGUGGGAAGGCCCAGACAGCCAGGAUGUUGGCUUAGAAGCAGCCAUCAUUUAAAGAAAGCGUAAUAGCUCACUGGUCGAGUCGGCCUGCGCGGAAGAUGUAACGGGGCUAAACCAUGCACCGAAGCUGCGGCAGCGACACCGUGUGUUGUUGGGUAGGGGAGCGUUCUGUAAGCCUGUGAAGGUGUGCUGUGAGGCAUGCUGGAGGUAUCAGAAGUGCGAAUGCUGACAUAAGUAACGAUAAAGCGGGUGAAAAGCCCGCUCGCCGGAAGACCAAGGGUUCCUGUCCAACGUUAAUCGGGGCAGGGUGAGUCGACCCCUAAGGCGAGGCCGAAAGGCGUAGUCGAUGGGAAACGGGUUAAUAUUCCCGUACUUGGUGUUACUGCGAAGGGGGGACGGAGAAGGCUAUGUUGGCCGGGCGACGGUUGUCCCGGUUUAAGCGUGUAGGUAUGUGUUCCAGGUAAAUCCGGUUCACUUUAACACUGAGGCGUGACGACGAGGCACUACGGUGCUGAAGCAACAAAUGCCCUGCUUCCAGGAAAAGCCUCUAAGCAUCAGGUAACAUCAAAUCGUACCCCAAACCGACACAGGUGGUCAGGUAGAGAAUACCAAGGCGCUUGAGAGAACUCGGGUGAAGGAACUAGGCAAAAUGGUGCCGUAACUUCGGGAGAAGGCACGCUGACACGUAGGUGAAGUGAUUUACUCACGGAGCUGAAGUCAGCCGAAGAUACCAGCUGGCUGCAACUGUUUAUUAAAAACACAGCACUGUGCAAACACGAAAGUGGACGUAUACGGUGUGACGCCUGCCCGGUGCCGGAAGGUUAAUUGAUGGGGUCAGCGCAAGCGAAGCUCCUGAUCGAAGCCCCGGUAAACGGCGGCCGUAACUAUAACGGUCCUAAGGUAGCGAAAUUCCUUGUCGGGUAAGUUCCGACCUGCACGAAUGGCGUAAUGAUGGCCAGGCUGUCUCCACCCGAGACUCAGUGAAAUUGAACUCGCUGUGAAGAUGCAGUGUACCCGCGGCAAGACGGAAAGACCCCGUGAACCUUUACUAUAGCUUGACACUGAACAUUGAGCCUUGAUGUGUAGGAUAGGUGGGAGGCUUUGAAGUGUGGACGCCAGUCUGCAUGGAGCCGACCUUGAAAUACCACCCUUUAAUGUUUGAUGUUCUAACGUGGACCCGUGAUCCGGGUUGCGGACAGUGUCUGGUGGGUAGUUUGACUGGGGCGGUCUCCUCCUAAAGAGUAACGGAGGAGCACGAAGGUUGGCUAAUCCUGGUCGGACAUCAGGAGGUUAGUGCAAUGGCAUAAGCCAGCUUGACUGCGAGCGUGACGGCGCGAGCAGGUGCGAAAGCAGGUCAUAGUGAUCCGGUGGUUCUGAAUGGAAGGGCCAUCGCUCAACGGAUAAAAGGUACUCCGGGGAUAACAGGCUGAUACCGCCCAAGAGUUCAUAUCGACGGCGGUGUUUGGCACCUCGAUGUCGGCUCAUCACAUCCUGGGGCUGAAGUAGGUCCCAAGGGUAUGGCUGUUCGCCAUUUAAAGUGGUACGCGAGCUGGGUUUAGAACGUCGUGAGACAGUUCGGUCCCUAUCUGCCGUGGGCGCUGGAGAACUGAGGGGGGCUGCUCCUAGUACGAGAGGACCGGAGUGGACGCAUCACUGGUGUUCGGGUUGUCAUGCCAAUGGCACUGCCCGGUAGCUAAAUGCGGAAGAGAUAAGUGCUGAAAGCAUCUAAGCACGAAACUUGCCCCGAGAUGAGUUCUCCCUGAGACUUUAGGUCUCCUGAAGGAACGUUGAAGACGACGACGUUGAUAGGCCGGGUGUGUAAGCGCAGCGAUGCGUUGAGCUAACCGGUACUAAUGAACCGUGAGGCUUAACCUUACAACGCCGAAG